GGAAGCGGUGUGAAGCGAGAGGUUCCCGCACCGUUUUGCGAGAGGCUGGAACUGAGAUGCUCUGGCCUACUCACC
rfam:Gammaproteobacteria bacterium RIFCSPHIGHO2_12_FTLL_37_34 rifcsphigho2_12_scaffold_6871, whole genome shotgun sequence.